UCAUGAUGGAGAGAGACAUAGACAUCCACCGCGAGAACAGAGCUAAAGAAAAAAAUCGUCUUGGUUGUACUUUCUGGUCUUUUACUUCGCGCGUUUGUAACACGUUCUCCUCACUCUGUCAUCUACACGCCCACGGGAGGGAAGCUUUUUUAUCUAUUCUUUUUAAAAAAAUGAAAAAAAAUGAAGAAAUUUCAUUUUUUUUUUUUU
rnacentral:ribozyme from 12 species